AAUAGAUACCCCGGUAGUCCUAGCUGUAAACGAUGAGCACUGGGUUGAGGGGACUUCCACAUCCUCUCGGCCGUAGCGAAAGCGUUAAGUGCUCCGCCUGGGGAGUAUGGCCGCAAGGCUGAAACUCAAAGGAAUUGACGGGGGCUCACACAAGCGGUGGAGGAUGUGGCUUAAUUCGAGGCUACGCGAAGAACCUUAUCCUAGGCUUGACAUGGUUGAGAAUCUCCUUGAAAGAGGAGAGUGCCCUUCGGGGAGCUCUUUCACAGGUGCUGCAUGGCUGUCGUCAGCUCGUGUCGUGAGAUGUUGGGUUAAGUCCCUUAACGAGCGAAACCCUUAUCUUUAGUUGCCAGCGGGUAAUGCCGGGGACUCUAAAGAGACUGCCGGUGUCAAACCGGAGGAAGGUGGGGAUGACGUCAAGUCCUCAUGGCCUUUAUGUCUAGGGCUGCACACGUCCUACGAAUGGUACGUACAAAGGGAAGCCAAGCCGCGAGGCCGCGCUAAUCCCGAAAAAGCGUGCCCCAGUUCGGAUUGCAGGCUGCUAAC
rnacentral:rRNA from 1 species